GUGACGAAUUUGAAGCCUCCGAGUCCGGAAAGAAGGAUCCUGACACUGAGGAUCAGAAAGAUACCGAGUCGGAGCGGUCCCGCUCAUCAUCGAAGAAGCCUGAGGA